rnacentral:rRNA from 1 species
ACAUCCAGAGAAUUUAGCAGAGAUGCUUUAGUGCCUUCGGGAACUCUGAGACAGGUGCUGCAUGGCUGUCGUCAGCUCGUGUUGUGAAAUGUUGGGUUAAGUCCCGCAACGAGCGCAACCCUUUAUCCUUUGUUGCCAGCACGUAAUGGUGGGAACUCAAAGGAGACUGCCGGUGAUAAACCGGAGGAAGGUGGGGAUGACGUCAAGUCAUCAUGGCCCUUACGAGUAGGGCUACACACGUGCUACAAUGGCGCAUACAAAGAGAAGCGACCUCGCGAGAGCAAGCGGACCUCAUAAAGUGCGUCGUAGUCCGGAUUGGAGUCUGCAACUCGACUCCAUGAAGUCGGAAUCGCUAGUAAUCGUAAAUCAGAAUGUUACGGUGAAUACGUUCCCGGGCCUUGUACACACCGCCCGUCACACCAUGGAAGUGGGUUGCAAAAGAAGUAGAUAGCUUAACCUUCGGGAGGGCGUUUACCACUUUGUGAUUCAUGACUGGGGUGAAGUCGUAACAAGGUAGGCGUAGUGCU